UCCUCUUGCCAAUUUGGAGUGAACAAGGCCUAUAGUCAAGCUAGGGACUAUAACCAAGCGCUUGUUGGGAGGCAACCCAACUUUCUUAUCCUUACACUUUUGUUUAUGUUACUUGUGAUUAAUACUUUUGUCAUUACAUUUUGAAUUAAUACAAUUCUUUUGUAGGUCAAAAUUUUUGAAGUCCUAGCCACCCAUAGAUCUCAACAAGUUUGGGGGUGCAUGGUCCACUAAGUCAUAAACCAAAAAUUCAUCUACAACAUCUUUCAACAAACACCUAAUCAGGGAAGUUUCGUCAAUCCUCUCUCCUUAUUUUGUAUUUAUGCACACAUUGAGGACAAUGUGUAAGUUAAGUUUGGGGGUGUUAAUUGUUGAUUGGAUAUUGUGCCUAUUUAUCGUGCUUAUAUUGGUGUUGAUAGUGACAUAUUGGAUAGCCUUGUUGGCUUUUGAUGAUUUGAUGUGAUGUUUAAAAUUGUUAUUAAUUCAUAAGUUAUGUCCAAUCAUGCUAUUUGUUUCGAUCUUGAAAAUUUGCUUGUGCAUGUGAGAUGUUAUACCACUUUGAGCACAAUAGUCACAACUGGUUAUUGUCUAGAUGUGGAAAUGAUUGAUUGAUGGAAAAUUUUUGAAUUGGAAGAACUAGGUUAUGAGUUACACAUAAACUUCUAUCAUACUCUCAAUAACUCCACCAUUUUGUGAAUUAAGUUUGGGGGUGGUCGAGCCAGUGAAGGAUAUUAUCUAGAAGUGUGUUGAUUCCAUGCAUGUUGAAAAUAUUUGUGUGGAGUAUCUUUUGCCAAGCAUAAACUAGGUAAUGACCAUAUGCUGGGGAUCUAAGUCCUAUGUGUUGAUUUAUGCUUAAAAAGAAUGUUAUUGUACUUGUUGAAUCUUGGGCCUCACUUCGUAGCCUUUUUUUACUCGAGUUAUUAAGUUCGUAAGGGUAUUUUGAAACCCGGUACCCUUUGGCCUAAACAACCAGGGAGUUAUUGACCUAAAGCUCAUUACAAGGGUCAAUAAGAAAGUUUAAGGGAGUGAGGUAAAACAUGGCAUUCAGCUAAAAAAAAAAAGUUGAAAAAAAAAAAGAAGAGAAAAAAAUUUGUUAUUCAUAUUUGAGCUUAGAUAACUAGUGGGUUUGAAUUGCUUAGUAUAAACUUGAAUGUGGAAGCACUCAUUGGUGGAGAAUCAUCACAUGCCUAGAUGUUGCAAUUGCCGGUUAGACUCAACCAAACUAGAGCAGAAAAAGAAAUGAGUGAUUGAGAGCAACCCUUAGAUUUACACCACGGGAAGUACAAUAAUAUCUAUUUUAGUGUGAAUCUCACGAGUGGGGAAAGGAAAUAUUUGACCACAAAGGCUCGGGUUGGAGCCAAUUUGAAGAUUUUUCCAUCUUGACAACUUUUUCCUAAUUCAGAUAAUCAUUAAAAGUGAUGUUGCACACAUACGCCGAUCAAACAUUAGAUAAGCUUAAAUUAUUUUUGCUAGCAUUAUUUGGAGCAUAUUUGUGAAUUGAUUAUACAAUUUUACACUCAUUGAUAUUUUUGGCAAGCUUUUUAGUGUGUUGACCGUUAUCACGUCUGCUUAAUUGUGUGGUAGAUAAUCUUGAUCGGGACGAGAAAGAGCUUAAGUUUGGGUGUGUGAUAAGUGUGUUUUUACACACUUAUUGGGCACUUAAUUUGAUACAAUUAUUGAUUAAAAGAAUGGAACUCUACUCACAAUUAAGUAUUAUUUGCUUUUGUAGGCUACAAAUUACUCAAGUAAAGAGAACAGGGCAAAAGGAGGAAAAAUGAGGAAAAAAAUACUAAAAUUGUACAAAAUUGUGAAGUUGGAGGACAAGGCAAAAAAUUCAAAAAGUGGAGGAAUUGUGAUGAAAUUUAUGGAGGGCAAAAGUGAAAUGAAAGUCAAAAUUCAAGGACCAAAUUGUACAAGAUCAAAAGUUGAGAGACUUGGCUACAGAUUACACAAAAUUAACUUUUGUAGCUGCUGAAACAGAGACCCAGGCGCUGCAACACCAUUGUUCUGGCACUACAGCGCCAAUUUGUAAUUAAAAAGGAAAUUGGGGACCUUUUUGCUAACUUUCCAAAAGCCCAGGGACCAAAGCUGCAACUUUCCUUAGGUUUUAAUAUAAAAACCAGCAGCUGAGCAGUUUUUGAGAGAGCUUCAUUUUUCUGGGUUCCGUCUUCUGCUGGUUCUUUCUUUUUAUUUUGUUUUCAUUUUGUUUUGUUUUCUUUUUUCUUUUCCUUUUACUUGGUAUUUUGGAGAACAAAUCAUAGAGCACAAGGAGGUACCAAAGGAUUUGGC
rnacentral:lncRNA from 1 species